UGACUUCGUCGCUUGGAAAGCGUACUGCCUCGCGGUUAGGACUCGACAAGUAGAUCUCCAGGUAGAGGACGAGGCAAAGGCAAGGGCAAGCUGGCGAGCGACCCGAAGUGAGACCGAGGAGGGCCAUAGGGACUACCGCUUCCGCUUAUUUCUUAUUUCAGAUUUUAGCAUUUGAGUUUGAGUACUUUUUAUUUUUCACUAUCUUUUAUGUAGAUAGGGCCCGAGUAGGAUUUCAGAACGUUUUUACAUUUUUGCAUGACUACCUUGUUUAUGUUUUUAUAAAUGAAUUUCUUGAACCGUAUGCUUUUAAUAAAAUUUUUAGACUUAAACCACUUGUUCUAUAUUUAGUAAUGACUUCGAUUCAGCAUAA